GUCUACGGCCAGACCACCCUGAACACGCCCGAUCUCGUCUGAUCUCGGAAGCUAAGCAGGGUCGGGCCCGGUUAGUACUUGGCUGGGAGACCUCCUGGGAAUACUGGGUGCUGUAGGCU
rnacentral:rRNA from 1 species